UGCUACCGAAUUAUAUUUAUUUUCGAUAGCAUUGGAUUAGCUUUGCUUGCUUGCAUAAUUUCAAGAAAUGUGAUUCAUUCAAUAAAGUUAACAAUUUAUCAUUCUUUUAAAAUAAUUAUGUGCCUCUAAAAUGUUCUGCCGAAGACUACCACCUUAUAUAGUGCAAGAGCUUCCUGACAUAUCAGAGUCUAUUCGAUUUCCGAUACAAAAUGUUCAAAGGAUAAGGUACACAUGCUUUGAUGUGUCCAAGAGUCUGAUAGUAUUUGGUGCUACUAGUGGUGGAAUCUAUGUUUUCAACAGAAAUCCAUGCGAGUUUGUGCAACUUAUACCUAACAAGGAUGGAAUUAUCACUCGCCUGGCAAUAUCUCCAAAUGAGAAACACAUUGGUUUCGCCAAUGGCAAGGGAGCGGUGUCCGUCACGGAAUGUAACCAAUCACUUAGUGGAGGUCACUCAACAACUACUUCCAAGGAGCACCACGGGAAUGAAGUGACAACUCUGGUCUGGGGCCGGAGUAAUAUGCUGUUUGCUGGGGACGAUGUGGGAAAGAUAUCUGUCUUGCAACUCCAAGGGUUCAUUGCGAAAGCGAUUUUCCAAAAUUUGUCUCAAACGAUAAUGAGUUUGGACUCGCGGAUAUGCCAGCUUGACAUCAAGGAUUGCAUGCUUUUAGUCUCAACACUAACUAGGUGUUACAUAUGUGAUACAUCUCAAGAACAAUACCGGCAGAUUGGCCAAAAAUUACGAGACGGAGAAUUCGGUGCUUGCUUUCAUGAUAAAGAGAAAUCCGCAGACAAUAAUCCAACACCAACCAUACAAGAUUUUACUGAAGUCAAAAAGUAUAACAUUGUUGAUAAUGAUGCAGGAUUUGCCAUCAGUAAAGAAUUAGUUAACACUGUUAUAUUUUGUGCCAGACCAUCAUCCAGACUGUGGGAGGCAACAAUUGAUGGUACAGUUAUGAGAACUCAUCAAUUCAAACAAGUUUUAGCUAAACCAGUGAAAGUUGUGUCAGUAGAAUCAUAUAAAAAUGAGGAAAUCGACUUGAAUGAUGAUUGUAAAGCUGAAGAAGGCCAGUCUGUCAAUUUUCACAAAAUAUUUAGUGUCAAUGGUGCCAUAUUUUCUUUUAAAAAGGAUGCUCUGUAUUUUCUAAAUACCAAUGAUGUAGAUGAUACUAUGUGGCUUACAUAUAGUGAUGUAAUGGAUUGCAAAGUAUAUAAUGAUACGGUUUAUGUAUGGUUAACUAAUGGCUCUCUUGUUAGUUUGAGGUAUAUGAAAAUUGAGAAAUUUCUGUUGAAAUGUUAUUUUGAUGAAAAAUAUGUAAUAUGUGCUAAAUUGUGUUCCUUGUACAGUGAUUAUUUGCUUAUGAAUAACUUAUCUCCAAAAUUGCAUAUACUAGUAGGUAUCAGGGAUAAAUUAGACAAUGAUAAACUUACCAAUAUUGAGAAGGUUCUAGAAAAGUUUAAUGGUUUAAAAUCUAAUGAAGCAAUGCAAAUGAAAUCCGGUAUAUUCGUUGUAGACAACACUUUCCAAACACAAUCAUUAUUAGACGAUAUAGAAAGUCCUAAACAUAUAGAAGAUAAUAAAUUUGGAACAUUAUCACCAGAAGCAUUGCAGGCGUUCAAAGAUUUGAGUGUGACUGUAUCUGAUAAGUUAAAUUCUAGUAAGAAAAUAUUGAAAGAUACCUGGGAGGGAAUGAAACAUUUCCACGACACACAACCUAUUCAAGAAAUAAAUCUCCCAAAGAAAAUUAUACAUGAAGAAGAUUCUAAAGUUGAACAUACGCCCGUUGAAACAGACAACAAUAUUAUACAUAAAGAAUCUAGUCAUAAAACCAUAGAGGUAGACAAUAACGUAUUACAAACUGACAAAGUUUGCAAAUCUUUGUACCAGUACUUUAGAUUAAGUUUAGUUGGUAAAGAGACAGAACGCUCGAAUUUAGUUUCAUUAGUUGAAAACCACAGCUGUGAUAUUAGUGGAAUCUACAAUCUUAUGUUACUUUUAGAGAAAUAUUGUGUUGCCGUGGGGGCACUAGAAGAAUCUAAAUACGUACCGAAUAAUAUAUUUUUAAUGUACUUAAGUAGUUCGCCGCAGAAGAAUGUGUUAUUAGACGCAAUAAUAAAAGACGAAAGGUUUUACAAAUACUUCGUGGAUUCGUGCAUAUCUGUGAAUGUAAGAACUCAAAAACUGUCGAAUAUAGGCUGCGAGUGUGGCUUUCCUUUGCCAUACACUAGAACAAAUCAAUUGCCAGUAUAUUCGGAACUGAUAGACGAGUUUAUUGAAAGGCAAUGGUCGAGUCAAUCGAAAGAUCAGUGUUAUGAGAUGUGCAAGCGAAUGCCGUAUUUAUGGAGAAAGAUAUUGUACUUGAGAAGAAAUGAAGAUCUCUUGAAUGUAUUGAGGAUAUUGUUGCAAAUGCUCGAUGAAGGUUUACUGCACUCGUUUUUGCCUCAAUUCACUUUAGAAUCGUGGGACAGAGCUCUUCAGUUGUACGCCACAUUACAUGCGAAUAUGUGCUUGAAUUGUAAUAAGAAAUUCCACCACAUAUCAGUGAAAGAUAUGUUGAGUUGGGACGACGUUGGUGCGUUGAUGAUCAAAUCGGUCGGUGGUAGGAAUGCCUUGAAAAUCAUGCAGAAACAUGCGAAAUUGAUAGAUCUAGGAGAGUUGACGAUGAAGUUUUACCAUACGAGUAUGUUGGUGGCCAUGUAUGAGAAAUAUGACGUCACAAUCACAAGUCAACUCACGGACGCUCUGUACAGUUGUUACGAUUUUGAUGAAGCGAAAUUGGAGAUAUGCCGCCUUCUCCGAAACACGACAAACGGACUCAUAAACAACACAGCACUACCAAUAAUAGUCGCCGCGAAUUCUACGCACUGGGGACUCACCCCGAUCACAGAAAAAACCUUAGCAAGUGAUGAGCACAAAGAAUUUAGCAAAAUAAAAUAUUUAAAACUCGAUGAAAUUGUACAAAGGUUACCGGAAAUUAAUAAUAACGUAACAGAUUGCGUGUUAUGCGGAGUUCCGAUGCAGAAUAAAAUUCUGAUCCAAGAUGGCGGCUUGUGGGUUUUCAAAUGUGGUCAUAGUUUCCAUGGAGCUUGCUUAGAUGUAAAUAAAGUGAAGUUGUGCCCGUCUUGUCCUAAGGUUUAGUGGCCUAACUUAUUUUGUAUUGCUGGUAUAUAAUUAAUAUACAAAUACUCAAGGAUUUCUUUAAUAUGAAAUAGAUGACGUAUAGUGAUAAAAGGAGCCAUAAAGAAGCCUGAUUACCUAAUAGCGUUAGGCUAUACUUGUUUAUUUUUUGUAGCAAUAGUAUUUUAUGCAUGACUUUGUAUUGCCAGUAUAAGUUUUAAUUCACAAAAUGGUACAAAACUUUUCUAUGCAUACAACCCUAUGAACUGUAAAAAGGGAACUCAAAUUAAAAAAAACGAUUUUAUGAAAUAGUUUUUCUUUUAACUGUGAUUUUGCGCAGAAAACAUAGCUCAGGUAUACAGAGUAAAAUUAACUAUGAAAUAUUUAUCGAUGCUUUAACUAGGGAAAGAAAUAUAUGUAUCGUAUAGUAUAGUGUACAUUUUAUGCAAGCUUUUAAUGUCGUGAAAUUUUUUUAAACUAAUAUAUUAACUUUAUUUAAUGAGAGUGCGGUUUUUCUUACUUACCUAAUAUGAUUGGAAGAUAUAUUUUAUGUAUUUUUUUUUGUUUAAAAUUUGUCUGCGCAUGCACUUUCAAAAAUGUUCAUGUCUUGAAUGUAUCUAAUAGGCCUAAUAAACUUUGGAUACUUCUUUUAGGUGAUGGGCUAGCAACCUGUCACUUUCUGGAUUUCAUUUCCAGCAUGAA
rnacentral:misc_RNA from 1 species